CUCACAUUCAUAGGCCGGACAGUUCAGUCAAUGAAGUGACAGCCGGAUCAGAGAGCGUCAAUUACGAGAUUAAGAAUGUGUGGAGGCCUUCUCCUUCUUAGUGUGUGCCUCUGAAACAGGUAUAAAUUUGAUUAAUACUGGUAACCGCCCUGAUGAUGGAGGCAGUUUGCAUGUCGUUAGUCAUCUACCAGACUACACGGUCAAACGUUUCUACAUAUUGCAGAGCGGCGAGUAUCAAGACUGAUGUCUUCUGAGUUGUAGCGCCGCGUAGUGUGGUAGGAUUUUAUCGACGUUUCGGAGGUCCUUGCUGCCUCCGUUACCAGGACGAUCAUCGUGGCAAAUGCCAGUGAAACGUCGGUACACUUUUGCGCUGCAACCCGGAAUACAUUCAUGAUUGUCGGGUCUCCUUUCGCAUUAUAUAAACAAAUUCCUUAUACAUACGAUAUAAAAAAUUUGAUCCAACUAAUUAAUUAACCAAAUAACACGCCAGUUUACAAGAACACUGGAAUGUGCUCAUUUGAUGUGAACAUGUGUAUAAAAUGUAUCCUAACAAUAUGCAGUGCACAUAAUUCACAACGUGUUAUUGAAAUACGACAGAAACACGGUCAAAGGUAUGCAAAGUAUGCUGAAAAUUAUACAGAAACAAAAUUACUUCCACUACUACAAAAAAAAAGGGUACAAAGUUUGAAAAAUAAUCAAGUAUAUAAUUUACCAACAAAAUAUGAAGUUAUGGGAUGUUUUAGGUGUGUGUGGACGACUUCCCUGUUGUUUGCGAUUUGGAUUUAAUAUCGGCCACAAUAACCAUAUUUUUU